rnacentral:rRNA from 1 species
AGUGAACGCUGGCGGUAGGCCUAACACAUGCAAGUCGAACGGCAGCACAGUAAGAGCUUGCUCUUACGGGUGGCGAGUGGCGGACGGGUGAGGAAUACAUCGGAAUCUACUUUUUCGUGGGGGAUAACGUAGGGAAACUUACGCUAAUACCGCAUACGACCUACGGGUGAAAGCAGGGGAUCUUCGGACCUUGCGCGAUUGAAUGAGCCGAUGUCGGAUUAGCUAGUUGGCGGGGUAAAGGCCCACCAAGGCGACGAUCCGUAGCUGGUCUGAGAGGAUGAUCAGCCACACCGGGACAGAGACACGGGCCACACUCCGACGGGAGGCAGCAGUGGGGAAUAUUGGACAAAGGGGGCAAGCCUGAUCCAGCCAUACCGCGUGGGGGAAGAAGGCCUUCGGGUUGUAAAACCCUUUUUUUGGGAAAGAAAAACAGCAGGGGAAAACCCCGCUGUUCUGACGGGACCCAAAAAAAAAGCACCGGCUAACUUCGGG